rnacentral:lncRNA from 1 species
GUUGGGCUCCAACAUUGGGCCUCUAAUUUAAUUAAGUGGGCUGCACUUUUAUAACUUGGGCUAUGUAUUAUAUUUUGGGCUGUAUUUUUGUAUGAAGAGAGCCUCUUAUUAAAUUACUAAUUGGGCCAUGAAUUUAUUUAUUUGUGAAUUGAGUUUUUAAAGUAAAAGCUGAGCAAGGGUAUUAUUGAAACCCUUAGCCAAGAAAAAUGAUUUUCAAGUUUCAUGUUGAAUUUAUGAAAACCCGGUUGUUGCGAAUCUAGUUAGAAAAUGAUGACAAGUCAUGAAGGUUAAGCUUGAUUUUAGGACUAUGAGUUUAAGUUGAGAACUUAUCUUGUAGGUCCUACAGAAGAGGAUAUUUAGGCUCUUGAUCAGCUAAGUUAUAUUGUUUGGAUUUUCUCCAAAUCAGGUGAGGCUUUAUUUACGAAAUGUAUGUUUGAGCUAAUAAGCUCGGUUUUAUGUAAAGUUAAAGUUGAUGGUUCAUGCUUAAAAUGUUUUUGCUCUCUAUUGGUUAUUGCUUCUACCAGAACAUUGUUGGCUCUGCCAACCAGAACAUUGUUAGCUCUGCUAACCAGAAUUGUGUACGUACACCAGAACCUGUUGUCUCGAAGAGAUUCGGUGACAACCAGUUGUAGAUAGCAUGCCCAAUAGAUGGCCAGGAAAAUAUGAGCUCAGAUUAUUUUAGUAUGCAUGGAAUGACUCACUUUAAAAACAUUCUGUGUUAUACUGUUUAAGGCAUGAAUUAUCUUUUUCAGUAAAUGAUUUUUAAAAUAUUUUUAAAUGGCUCAACCCACUGAGUACACUAGUACUCAGCCCUGCAAUUGUUUUCAAAACCUUUUGCAGAUUGAGCAGCUGGUGGUGAUGUGCGAGGCUGAGGAAAGGUUGUUGCUGUAAUAUUGGAGAACACUCUGUUUUACUUCCGCUGGAAUAAAUUCACUUGGUGAAUAUAAUCUUAUGCCUAACUAUACUUUAAAUCGUUUUAAUCUGGAUUCCAUUUUCCAUCGUUUUCCCAAGUGAUUGUUAUUCUGCACAUAUAUUAUAUGCCUAAUAUGAAAUGUUGUUUUGGGCUCAGACCUUCGAACUUUCGAUCCUGUUAGGGAGAACAAUUAUAUCAUAAUAUCAUGCUUAUUACCUUUGGAAUAUGACAUAUUUUUCAAUUGAUGAAAUGAUGCCCGGCUCUAUUGGCCUAUUACCCAUUUAAUUCAAAUAAAGUUUAGUAGUUUCGUCACAUAGCCCAUUUCUUAUUCUCCCGAAAAAUCGGGGCUGUCAUAUCACUGG